rnacentral:rRNA from 1 species
AGCAGCCGCGGUAAUUCCAGCUCCAAUAGCGUAUAUUAAAGUUGUUGCAGUUAAAAAGCUCGUAGUUGAAUUUCGGGAUCAGAUUGUCGGUCGUGCCUCGGUACGCACUGGCAUUAUUGGUUCCUACCUUCUGAAGAACCGCGAUGUCAUUAAUUUGGUGUCGCGGGGAAUCAGGACUGUUACUUUGAAAAAAUUAGAGUGUUUAAAGCAGGCUUACGCUUGAAUACAUUAGCAUGGAAUAAUGAAAUAGGACGUUUGAUUCUAUUUUGUUGGUUUCUAGGAUCGACGUAAUGAUUAAUAGGGAUAGUUGGGGGCAUUAGUAUUCAAUUGUCAGAGGUGAAAUUCUUGGAUUUAUUGAAGACUAACUACUGCGAAAGCAUUUGCCAAGGAUGUUUUCAUUAAUCAAGAACGAAAGUUAGGGGAUCGAAGACGAUCAGAUACCGUCGUAGUCUUAACCAUAAACUAUGCCGACUAGGGAUCGGAUGAUGUUAAUUUUAUAAUGACUCGUUCGGCACCUUAA